CAGUCGCCGCGGUAAUACGAAGGGGGCUAGCGUUGUUCGGAUUUACUGGGCGUAAAGGGCGCGUAGGCGGAUUUGUAAGUCAGGGGUGGAAUCCCGAGGCUCAACCUCGGAACUGCCUUUGAUACUGUGGAUCUUGAGUCCGGGAGAGGUGAGUGGAACUGCGAGUGUAGAGGUGAAAUUCGUAGAUAUUCGCAAGAACACCAGUGGCGAAGGCGGCUCACUGGCCCGGAACUGACGCUGAGGCGCGAAAGCGUGGGGAGCAAACAGGAUUAGAUACCCCAGUAGUCCCUGUCUCUUAUAC
rnacentral:rRNA from 1 species